rnacentral:rRNA from 1 species
CAAUAGCGUAUAUUAAAGUUGUUGCGGUUAAAAAAGCUCGUAGUUGGAUUUCUGCUGAGGACGACCGGUCCGCCCUCUGGGUGAGUAUCUGGCUUGGCCUUGGCAUCUUCUUGGAGAACGUAGCUGCACUUGACUGUGUGGUGCGGUAUCCAGGACUUUUACUUUGAGGAAAUUAGAGUGUUUCAAGCAGGCACACGCCUUGAAUACAUUAGCAUGGAAUAAUAAGAUAGGACUUUGGAACUAUUUUGUUGGUUUGCGUUACAAAGUAAUGAUUAAUAGGGACAGUUGGGGGUGAUUCGUAUUUCGUUGUCAGAGGUGAAAUUCUUGGAUUUCCGAAAGACGAACUACUGCGAAAGCAUUUACCAAGGAUGUUUUUCAUUAAUCAAGAACGAAAGUUAGGGGAUCGAAGACGAUUAGAU